UUUUAUAAGAAUGGGGAGGUUGGAGCUAAAUUUAAUUCAUCCAUACCUUAAAGUGAAUUAUGUUAACAGUUACUCAAAUUCAAUCCCGCUGCAAUGUACAAAAUUGCAUUUUU